rnacentral:rRNA from 1 species
GACGAACGCUGGCGGCGUGCUUAACACAUGCAAGUCGAGCGGUAAGGCCCUUUCGGGGGUACGACGAGCGGCGAACGGGUGAGUAACACGUGGGUGACCUGCCCUCAGCUCUGGGAUAAGCCGUCGGGAAACCGGGUACUAAUACGUGGAUAUGACUCCAUGACGCAUGUUGGUGGGGUAGGAAAGCCUUGUGCGGCUGAGGAGUCGGGCCCGCGGCCUAUCAGC